rnacentral:RNase_P_RNA from 1 species
AGGAGGCCGUGGCCGACCGACGGGUUCAGCCUGAGGAAAGUCCCCUCUCCAUAGAAAAUGUGGACCGGCGCAAGCUGGUGUGGUGAGAGCCACGGGUCAGGGCGCAGAAACGACACGUCCUCUAGGGAGCUAUGAAGCGUGCGAAGCCUGCUGCAAAGUAGGUGAGUUAACCCGCGGAGCAAAGAAACAGAGGGAUCGAUGAAACGGCCACUUCACCCCGCAGGAGCAAGUCCAAAUAGCCGGGAUGACCUUUUCGGGACCGGCAGGUGGGACGCGCAGGUGAAUGUCGGCUGAUACCAAACAGAAAGGGGCUUACAUCGGCCACCU